rnacentral:lncRNA from 1 species
GUGAAAGAUUCAUAAUUCAUAUGUGCCUGAAGCGUAUAUGAGUUAUGACUAGAUUUUCCAUAAGUGAAGGGUCUAUCCAACUCUUCAGAGGUUUAUCAAUAUACAAUCUGCACUGGUUUAAUAUGUGACAAGGAGGCAAGCCAGCAGUGCAGAAUGGCAAUGGAUAUGAUGCAGUUGAGCAAGCAAGAGAAAUUAAGGAUGAAAAGGCAGAAGAUUUUCUGAAAAAUCAGAUUCUGGUCUUACAUUUCAGUCCUACAGAAGACAAGCUUGUAUGGUGCACAUACGAUCCUAGUAUCACAGAGAAACCUGAAUAAUCAGAAGCAUCGG